UACGGAGGGCGCAAGCGUUAUCCGGAAUUAUUGGGCGUAAAGAGCUCGUAGGCGGUUUGUCGCGUCUGCCGUGAAAGUCCGGGGCUCAACUCCGGAUCUGCGGUGGGUACGGGCAGACUAGAGUGAUGUAGGGGAGACUGGAAUUCCUGGUGUAGCGGUGAAAUGCGCAGAUAUCAGGAGGAACACCGAUGGCGAAGGCAGGUCUCUGGGCAUUAACUGACGCUGAGGAGCGAAAGCAUGGGGAGCGAACAGG
rnacentral:rRNA from 1 species